GGAAAAUCUGAGGAAUUAAGAGAUGGUUUAUUAGCCAUAAGAGCUGAGACAUUGACUAUGUGCUUCUUUUUCAUGGGUCUCGAUCACCUCCUGUAGGGCUCGAGGAAUGAUGCCUCUCUGCUUAUAUGAUACAUAUGCAUUUGAAUGACCAACCAUUGUAGCCCCCAAAGGUUCCCAGCACCACACUCCGGGCUACACCAUCAUAGAUGUCCUCUUGUGACGCAUUGUGCAGCACUCCAUUCAGCUGAAAUAACCGUGAGCUCUGAUGAUUGUUCCUCUUUCCUUUCUUGGACCAUACUCUCAAAGUCUCAGAGAUAAAGAGAGCGACAGGUGAAAGCAUUCUUAAACAUUAGCAUCAUUCAAUCUGUUUUAUGCAUACGUUUGGCUCAGUUGGUUAAAGGUGCAUUGUGUUAUUCACCUAUGAUCCCCAAAAGUAAUUAAAUCAUUUCUGGUACAUUUCUGGAGGAAAGUUGUAAUAAUAAUGUUUUAAAAGCAUAUUUGAAUGGUAUUUAUAUGUACAUUUUUAAUGACCUUCAUGUUUGGCUAAAUUUGACAUGAAAUACCUGACUUUGACUUCAAAACUAUAAAAUAUGUAUUUUUGGUUUUCAGACAAAAAUGCUGAUUUUUUUUUUUUUAAUCAUCUUGUUCUUCUUAAAAGUUUAUGCCACUAAUAUUUUUCUGUCUUAGCUUUUUUUUAAUAAUUUUUAAUAGUAAUGUUUUUGCAGCUAUUUAGAUUGGUUGGAAUUGUAUGUUUUGUGUUUAUUUUGAUUUUGGCAUGUUUUGUUUUGCGUUAAAGCAAUAAAAAUACAGAAGGUAUAGGCUAA